CCGCUCAGCCGCCGUGAAGGGGAAACAAACCCCAGCGCGGCUAGAGGAGGAGUGGCAGGAACGCCCCUCCCCUUCCUGUUUGUUUCCCUGUGUCCUGGGUGUGUUUCCGGGUCCGUGUACGUCCUGUAUAGGCGCGGCAGGUUUGCGCCUCGGUGGAGUGGAGGAACAGGGGGUGGUACCUGGAUCCUCAAGCACUUAGAGUCAUUCUCUCUGGAAUUAACUUGAUUAUCACACUGAGAUCCAUGGACUACUGUAAUUCUCCCAGAACACUUCUAAAUGACCCAUGAAACUGCUGCUUUUAUCCUGGUGGAGUAACUGGUCAGUCUUAAACAUUGAUGCUUCCUGUCUAAAGGUUGAUAAAGCCUUUUUUAUAUAGGUAACUCAGAACAAGGCUGCUUUCUAACUUUGUAUUAGAUGCUUCUAUUUGUGUAAAUUCAAUCAUACUUAGAUUUUUGAGGCAAGAACCUCACCCCAUUUUGGUGAAGUAGCAAACAUGUAAGAGGACAAAAUCAAACUGCAAACUGACCUGGAGAGAUUAGAGCAGUGGAGUUUUCAGGAAAUUAUGGGAGGUUUACUAUUAACAACUGUGAUGUCCAGAGAAAAGAAAUAACCAGCAUAGAUACAUAAUUGAGGAGCAUAACCAAACAAUCAUAUCCAUUUCAGUGAUUUGAGUUUGUUUUCAUUAUGUUGUCUUUAGUAUUGCUCUGUUAUUACUUUUCUGUGUACCCAAGGAGUCUAGUUACUGCAGAAGAGAUGUGGGCCCAGGAGGGAAAGUGUCCACAAGAAAAUCUCAAUCUUUAAAAAUGUUUCCCAGUAUAAAAAAGUUUGAGAAGAACUGGGUUAUAGGGCAAACACAUUGAAAAUAAUAUUCUGCCUUAUAAAAUUAAAUGUUUUUUUAAUAUGGGACUGAUAUGUGGCUGUUAAGGGAUUUUAGCAAGUGUGGCCCUAAGAAAAAAAUGAUGUUUUUCUGUGUGAUAAAUUUUACCCAUUCUAAGCAUCUUCUUUGCUCCUACUCCUUUUGUUACCCAGAUGCUUGCAUCAGCACUACACCAUAUAAUCAUUAUUACUGUGGUCCAAACCACAUCUUUCAUUAAUGUCUCUACAUUGUUUUGGGCCAUCACUAUAGAAUACCUUACUGUUACUUAUAGCUUGUUGUAAUCCUGAAAGUGAAUAAUUUUGGAGAAAUAAGUAAAAUUCCAACUAUCCAUUUUUGAAAAAUUUUCACUAAUUAACAGUUUUUAGACACUUUUUAAAUGUGGAAUACUCAAAAAUUGUUCUAUUUUGAAAUCUGAAAUCUGAUUAGGCAUCUUUGAGGAUGUCAUGCUUUGCUAUUUUAUAAUAAAAUGGUUGAGAAAUACAUUAUAAAUGAGUGAAAAUAUAGCAUACAUCUCUGUAAUUUUUCUUGCUCAUGUAAGUGUGCAAGAAUAGUUAUCCUGGUAAACAUCUUGUUUUUGUGUGCUAUUUCAAAGAUCACACAUCAAAAUAAAAACAUAUUUGAAAGUGUGAUCUCAUGUACUUGUGAUAAAAUAAAAAUAACUGCUGAGUGG